rfam:Triticum aestivum genome assembly, contig: Triticum_aestivum_CS42_TGACv1_scaffold_542510_6DS
AUACUACUCCCUCCAUCCGAAAAUACUUGUCGGAGAAGUGGAUGUAUCUAGACAUAUUUUAGUUUAAGAUACAUCCAUUUUUAUCCAUUUCUUCGAUAAGUAUUUCCGGACUGAGGGAGUACUAU